AAAAAGAAAAAGGGGGGAAAGGUUUACAUGAUAGAGAGUGACAUAGUCAUCACUCUGAGCUUAUCACAAGUUCACACACAACAUCUUCUUCUAGCUUAGCUCCGCUCCCUAAAAUACAGUACUGGUUUUCUUCAAUCUUAACCUCUAAAAUUCUGAAGAAUCUUUGGUAGAGAGAUGAGUGACCCCAAGUAUGGUUAUCCUUACCCUGCCCAAGGUUAUUAUCAAGGACCUCCGGUGAUGGCACCUCCACAAUAUUACGCUGCUCCACCGCCCCGGAGAGAGCCUGGUUUCCUCGAGGGAUGCCUUGCAGCUUUGUGCUGUUGCUGCCUUAUUGACGAGUGUUGCUGCGACCCCUCCUUCUUCUUUUUCUGACAGAGCCAGCUGCCAUGCUUCUUCUAAGAGUAGUUAUAGCUAUGUGAUAAAUGUUGAUUACAGUGUAAUGAUGAGUGCUGUUGUUGAUUACAGUGUAAUGAUGAGUGCUGUUGUUUAUUGCCUUAGAGCAUUUUACUCUAAUGUAGUUCUACAUCCAUGUUGAGUACAUCUGGACAUCAAGAAUUUUAGUUUUAAAUUCCUUAA